CACGUAGGGUGCGAGCGUUGUCCGGAAUUAUUGGGCGUAAAGAGCUCGUAGGUGGCUUGUCGCGUCUGCCGUGAAAGCCCGUGGCUUAACUACGGGUCUGCGGUGGAUACGGGCAGGCUAGAGGCUGGUAGGGGCAAGCGGAAUUCCUGGUGUAGCGGUGAAAUGCGCAGAUAUCAGGAGGAACACCGGUGGCGAAGGCGGCUUGCUGGGCCAGUUCUGACGCUGAGGAGCGAAAGCGUGGGGAGCGAACAGG
rnacentral:rRNA from 1 species